rnacentral:lncRNA from 1 species
AUGGGCUGUCUGGAGGGAUACAGGCUGAUGGGCUGUCUGAAGGGAUACAGGCUGGUGGGCUGUCUGGAGGGAUACAGGCUGGUGGGCUGGCUGUGGAGAUACAGGCUGAUGGGCUGGCUGUGGAGAAACAGGCUGAUGGGCUGUCUGGAGGGAUACAGGCUGAUGGGCUGUCUGGAGGGAUACAGGCUGAUGGGCUGUCUGGAGGGAUACAGGCUGAUGGGCUGUCUGGAGGGAUACAGGCUGAUGGGCUGUCUGGAGGGAUACAGGCUGAUGGGCUGUCUGGAGGGAUACAGGCUGAUGGGCUGUCUGGAGGGAUACAGGCUGAUGGGCUGUCUGGAGGGAUACAGGCUGAUGGGCUGUCUGGAGGGAUACAGGCUGGGGGGGAUACAGGCUGAUGGGCUGGCUGUGGGGAUACAGGCUGAUGGGCUGUCUGGAGGGAUACAGGCUGAUGGGCUGUCUGGAGGGAUACAGGCUGAUGGGCUGUCUGGAGGGAUACAGGCUGAUGGGCUGUCUGGAGGGAUACAGGCUGAUGGGCUGUCUGGAGGGAUACAGGCUGAUGGGCUGUCUGGAGGGAUACAGGCUGAUGGGCUGUCUGGAGGGAUACAGGCUGAUGGGCUGUCUGGAGGGAUACAGGCUGAUGGGCUGUCUGGAGGGAUACAGGCUGAUGGGCUGUCUGGAGGGAUACAGGCUGAUGGGCUGGCUGGGGGGAUACAGGCUGGUGGGCUGGCUGGGGGGAUACAGGGUGGUGGUCUAGCUGGGGGGAUACAGGCUGAGGGGAUACAGGCUGAGAGGAUACGUGCUGACGGGCUGGCUGAGGGGAUACAGGCUGACGGGAUACAGGCUGAUGGGCUGGCUGGAGGGAUACAGGCUGACGGGCUGGCUGGAGGGAUACAGGCUGAUGGGCUGGCUGUGGAGAAACAGGCUGAUGGGCUGUCUGGAGGGAUACAGGCUGAUGGGCUGUCUGGAGGGAUACAGGCUGAUGGGCUGUCUGGAGGGAUACAGGCUGAUGGGCUGUCUGGAGGGAUACAGGCUGAUGGGCUGUCUGGAGGGAUACAGGCUGAUGGGCUGUAUGGAGGGAUACAGGCUGAUGGGCUGUCUGGAGGGAUACAGGCUGAUGGGCUGUCUGGAGGGAUACAGGCUGAUGGGCUGUCUGGAGGGAUACAGGCUGAUGGGCUGGCUGGGGGGAUACAGACUGGGAGGCCUGGGGGUUGGCUGUGGAGAUACAGGCUGGUGGUCUAG